rnacentral:rRNA from 1 species
CGCUGGCGGCGUGCCUAAUACAUGCAAGUCGAGCGGACAGAUGGGAGCUUGCUCCCUGAUGUUAGCGGCGGACGGGUGAGUAACACGUGGGUAACCUGCCUGUAAGACUGGGAUAACUCCGGGAAACCGGGGCUAAUACCGGAUGGUUGUUUGAACCGCAUGGUUCAAACAUAAAAGGUGGCUUCGGCUACCACUUACAGAUGGACCCGCGGCGCAUUAGCUAGUUGGUGAGGUAACGGCUCACCAAGGCAACGAUGCGUAGCCGACCUGAGAGGGUGAUCGGCCACACUGGGACUGAGACACGGCCCAGACUCCUACGGGAGGCAGCAGUAGGGAAUCUUCCGCAAUGGACGAAAGUCUGACGGAGCAACGCCGCGUGAGUGAUGAAGGUUUUCGGAUCGUAAAGCUCUGUUGUUAGGGAAGAACAAGUACCGUUCGAAUAGGGCGGUACCUUGACGGUACCUAACCAGAAAGCCACGGCUAACUACGUGCCAGCAGCCGCGGUAAUACGUAGGUGGCAAGCGUUGUCCGGAAUUAUUGGGCGUAAAGGGCUCGCAGGCGGUUUCUUAAGUCUGAUGUGAAAGCCCCCGGCUCAACCGGGGAGGGUCAUUGGAAACUGGGGAACUUGAGUGCAGAAGAGGAGAGUGGAAUUCCACGUGUAGCGGUGAAAUGCGUAGAGAUGUGGAGGAACACCAGUGGCGAAGGCGACUCUCUGGUCUGUAACUGACGCUGAGGAGCGAAAGCGUGGGGAGCGAACAGGAUUAGAUACCCUGGUAGUCCACGCCGUAAACGAUGAGUGCUAAGUGUUAGGGGGUUUCCGCCCCUUAGUGCUGCAGCUAACGCAUUAAGCACUCCGCCUGGGGAGUACGGUCGCAAACU